rnacentral:rRNA from 1 species
UACAGAGGGUGCGAGCGUUAAUCGGAGUGACUGGGCGUAAAGGGCAUGUAGGCGGUUAUAUUAGUCUGAUGUGAAAGACCUAGGCUUAACCUGGGGCAUGCAUUGGAAACGGUAUAGCUAGAGUAUGGGAGAGGGAAGUGGAAUUUCCGGUGUAGCGGUGAAAUGCGUAGAGAUCGGAAAGAACACUCGUGGCGAAGGCGGCUUCCUGGCCCAAAACUGACGCUGAGGUGCGAAAGCAUGGGGAGCAAACAGG